GUGCACAUUUCAUUGACCUGCUUUCUUUUGCAUAUGUGAGCAGUGUUAUUUCUUAUGUGCUAUACAAGUAGUUGAAGGCUAAUUAGCAGUAUAACUAUAAAUAGUAAUGCUGCCAGUCUCCUUCAGACAAAA
ensembl:snoRNA